rnacentral:rRNA from 1 species
AACGAACGCUGGCGGCAUGCCUAACACAUGCAAGUCGAACGAGACCUUCGGGUCUAGUGGCGCACGGGUGCGUAACGCGUGGGAACCUGCCCUUAGGUUCGGAAUAACUCCCCGAAAGGGGUGCUAAUACCGGAUAAUGUCUUCGGACCAAAGAUUUAUCGCCUUUGGAUGGGCCCGCGUUGGAUUAGCUAGUUGGUAGGGUAAAAGCCUACCAAGGCGACGAUCCAUAGCUGGUCUGAGAGGAUGAUCAGCCACACUGGGACUGAGACACGGCCCAGACUUCUGCGAGGGGCAGGAGUGGGAAAUAUUAGACAGGGGGCGAGAGCCUGAUCCAGCAGUGCCGCGUGAGUGGUGAAGGCCUUAGGGUUGAAGCUCUUUUACCCGGGAUGAUAAUGACAGUACCGGGAGAAUAAGCUCCGGCUAACUCCGUG